rnacentral:lncRNA from 1 species
UGGAACUGAGGUUGUGGAGCUUGAUAUUGAGGAACUGGAACUUGAUAGUGAGGUACCGGAGCUGGAAUAGGAACAUGAGCAAUUGGACGAUAAGGCAUGGUUGGAUAUUGAAGUGGAGGAGCCUGGAACUGAGGUUGUGGAGCUUGAUAUUGAGGAACUGGAACUUGAUAGUGAGGUACCGGAGCUGGAAUAGGAACAUGAGCAAUUGGACGAUAAGGCAUGGUUGGAUAUUGAGCAGCAACUAUGUAAGGGUACUGAUAAUAAGGCACAGAAGCAGGAGCUCUGGGUGGUACCCUCCCCCUUUGAGAAGAAAUGGCGCUAGUCUCGCCCUCCUUCCUCUUGAAUCCAUUGAAAGGCUUCUUCAAGAUUGGUUGGCUGCUGGAACCUCCCUGGAUUUU